UGUGUCACAAGGUGACGAUCUCUUGGGCGGAACCAAAAGUCGGGAAACUUUGGUUCCGCCCGGAUGUUUCCGCCCAGACCGAAGAACGGAAACACCGGACAUCCGGCAGAUUCGCGGAGGCUGUAAUCAGCCGAUUGGGCACAGCUGUGCCUAGUUGAAGAGAUCGCUGGGCAAUUGGAUGACUGAAGUACAGAGAGGAGUAUAUAAAGCACAGUUAGAUCACAGUUCGGGAGUUCGGGCACGAGAGGGGGAUUGACACGGGGAGAGCUCCUCUGCUUAGGGCAGGAGAGGUAACUACGUACCUUUUGAAGAGCCCGCAGGCUCUGUUGAUCCGGGCUGCGCUUGAAGCGCGCGGAAAGAAGACAGGAGCUGCCUGGGGUGAAAGAAAGGCGAUACGUGAGUGGAGAAAAGGAGCACCCCGAAGAGAGCAUUGUGCUGUCAAGCCUGUGCUUAGUGUGUGCUGGGAAACGGAGCUGUGCUCAUUUUUGGACGUGGUGGCUGUCUGUGUUUCUCUCUCUCUCUCUCGUUGCAGUCUUUAUUGUGGACCUGCUGGAGUAGACAGGAAAGUCCUAUGGGUAAGAAGGAACUUUGUUCUAACCAAUACUGAAGGAGUAAAGCAGGAAGAAAAUUGACCGUCUGGUACAACGUAAAUAAAGGCUAUCCGCCGUGAGUAUACCCUUUUUGUGUGGAGUAACUGGCAAAAAUUAACUUGUGUAACCAUUGGAAACCUCCAGGAGAAGGAGGGCGGCCCUACCCCUACAAGAGUGUGGUGGGCGAGCCGUUAGAAGUACAAAUUCAAGCAGCCACCGCAACGAGACUUAUUGUGGUCGUAUUUCCCAUCGCCUUACCGUAGCCCAAGCGCAGUGGAGGACACCGGGCGCUUCCCUUGUUGUGGUGCACUUAUAGUGUGGUGAGUGAGACUGUGUAAUAAAUCUUUUCACGUUGGAGUGGUACUGUGUAUUUGCUGCGGGUUGCUGUGUGUCUUGUAGACGAAGCCCCGCAUCAUCCAUUUUCUUCCACUGGGCAGAGGACGGAGAGGCCAACGACUACAGAAACCACUGUUACUAUAAAUAGUGUGCUGUUUGGAGUACGAAGGGACGCAGACUAAGAGCUGUCCGUGACCGUGAGUAAACCAUUGGAAACAUUCGUGGUGUGAACUUACCUGUGUCUGUUUUGUCGCAGAGUCAGAGGCGAAAGGGUCCGCCGCCCCGUGGUCUCUACGAAAAGGGCGCCCCCGUCUAGGAAUCGAUCGGCCUAUGGGCAUUGGAGAUAGGGCAGCGCUCGACCCGGUGAGGUGGUGUGUGACCUUCGCCCCUCUGCUGACUUACAGAGAAGAACCAUACUUACCCAGAAAGCUGUAAACAGCAGAGCCGCGGCCACCUGUGGAGAGAGAGCAGAACGAGAGUGAAAAAUAGAAGAACAAACUGUGAACGUGAUACCUACCCAGAAAGCUGUAAACAGCAGAGCCGUGGCCUCCUGUGGAGAGAACGGAAAACGAGAAGGAACAUGAGGAGAAUGGACUGUGUGAAGAUACAGUGGUGGUGGAGGAGAGCCUAGAGUGGCCAUUGUUUUAAGUCCCCCGUUUCCCCUUCCCUAUUUAAUAUUUUUAAGUAAUUUAAUAAAGGAUAUUUUAAUUUUA